rnacentral:rRNA from 1 species
GGGUUGUGAGGUUAAGCGACUAAGCGUACACGGUGGAUGCCCUGGCAGUCAGAGGCGAUGAAGGGCGUGCUAAUCUGCGAUAAGCGCCGGUAAGGUGAUAUGAACCGUUAUAACCGGCGAUACCCGAAUGGGGAAACCCAGUGUGAUUCGUCACACUAUCAUUAACUGAAUCCAUAGGUUAAUGAGGCGAACCGGGGGAACUGAAACAUCUAAGUACCCCGAGGAAAAGAAAUCAACCGAGAUUCCCCCAGUAGCGGCGAGCGAACGGGGAGGAGCCCAGAGCCUGAAUCAGCAUGUGUGUUAGUGGAAGCGUCUGGAAAGGCGCGCGAUACAGGGUGACAGCCCCGUACACAAAAGCGCAUGUGCUGUGAGCUCGAUGAGUAGGGCGGGACACGUGGUAUCCUGUCUGAAUAUGGGGGGACCAUCCUCCAAGGCUAAAUACUCCUGACUGACCGAUAGUGAACCAGUACCGUGAGGGAAAGGCGAAAAGAACCCCGGCGAGGGGAGUGAAAAAGAACCUGAAACCGUGUACGUACAAGCAGUGGGAGCACAGGUUUACCUGUGUGACUGCGUACCUUUUGUAUAAUGGGUCAGCGACUUAUAUUCUGUAGCAAGGUUAACCGUAUAGGGGAGCCGGAGGGAAACCGAGUCUUAAUUGGGCGUUAAGUUGCAGGGUAUAGACCCGAAACCCGGUGAUCUAGCCAUGGGCAGGUUGAAGGUUGGGUAACACUAACUGGAGGACCGAACCGACUAAUGUUGAAAAAUUAGCGGAUGACCUGUGGCUGGGGGUGAAAGGCCAAUCAAACCGGGAGAUAGCUGGUUCUCCCCGAAAGCUAUUUAGGUAGCGCCUCGUGAAUUCAUCUCCGGGGGUAGAGCACUGUUUCGGCUAGGGGGCCAUCCCGGCUUACCAACCCGAUGCAAACUGCGAAUACCGGAGAAUGUUAUCACGGGAGACACACGGCGGGUGCUAACGUCCGUCGUGAAGAGGGAAACAACCCAGACCGCCAGCUAAGGUCCCAAAGUCAUGGUUAAGUGGGAAACGAUGUGGGAAGGCCCAGACAGCCAGGAUGUUGGCUUAGAAGCAGCCAUCAUUUAAAGAAAGCGUAAUAGCUCACUGGUCGAGUCGGCCUGCGCGGAAGAUGUAACGGGGCUAAACCAUGCACCGAAGCUGCGGCAGCGACGCUUAUGCGUUGUUGGGUAGGGGAGCGUUCUGUAAGCCUGUGAAGGUGUGUCGUGAGGCAUGCUGGAGGUAUCAGAAGUGCGAAUGCUGACAUAAGUAACGAUAAAGCGGGUGAAAAGCCCGCUCGCCGGAAGACCAAGGGUUCCUGUCCAACGUUAAUCGGGGCAGGGUGAGUCGACCCCUAAGGCGAGGCCGAAAGGCGUAGUCGAUGGGAAACGGGUUAAUAUUCCUGUACUUGGUGUUACUGCGAAGGGGGGACGGAGAAGGCUAUGUUGGCCGGGCGACGGUUGUCCCGGUUUAAGCGUGUAGGUGUGUGUUCCAGGUAAAUCCGGUUCACUUUAACACUGAGGCGUGAUGACGAGGCACUACGGUGCUGAAGCAACAAAUGCCCUGCUUCCAGGAAAAGCCUCUAAGCAUCAGGUAACAUCAAAUCGUACCCCAAACCGACACAGGUGGUCAGGUAGAGAAUACCAAGGCGCUUGAGAGAACUCGGGUGAAGGAACUAGGCAAAAUGGUGCCGUAACUUCGGGAGAAGGCACGCUGACACGUAGGUGAAGUGAUUUACUCAUGGAGCUGAAGUCAGUCGAAGAUACCAGCUGGCUGCAACUGUUUAUUAAAAACACAGCACUGUGCAAACACGAAAGUGGACGUAUACGGUGUGACGCCUGCCCGGUGCCGGAAGGUUAAUUGAUGGGGUCAGCGCAAGCGAAGCUCCUGAUCGAAGCCCCGGUAAACGGCGGCCGUAACUAUAACGGUCCUAAGGUAGCGAAAUUCCUUGUCGGGUAAGUUCCGACCUGCACGAAUGGCGUAAUGAUGGCCAGGCUGUCUCCACCCGAGACUCAGUGAAAUUGAACUCGCUGUGAAGAUGCAGUGUACCCGCGGCAAGACGGAAAGACCCCGUGAACCUUUACUAUAGCUUGACACUGAACAUUGAGCCUUGAUGUGUAGGAUAGGUGGGAGGCUUUGAAG